rnacentral:rRNA from 1 species
UACGUAGGGGGCAAGCGUUGUCCGGAUUUAUUGGGCGUAAAGCGCGUGUAGGCGGCCAGAAAAGUCCGCUGUGAAAACUCGAGGCUCAACUUCGAGCUGUCGGUGGAAACUUUCUGGCUAGAGUCCGGAAGAGGAGAAUGGAAUUCCUGGUGUAGCGGUGAAAUGCGCAGAUAUCAGGAAGAACACCCGUGGCUAAGGCGGCUCUCUAGUACGGUACUGACGCUGAGACGCGAAAGCGUGGGGAGCGAACAGG